AUUCCAGCUCCAGUAGCGUAUAUUAAAGUUGUUGCAGUUAAAAAGCUCGUAGUUGGAUUUCUGGCGUGGUGCGCCCGGCCCGAUACCGCUAAGGUGUCGAGUGCCGGCGCGCGCCUGCCAUCCUUCCGGAGAGCGUGCCUACCCUUCACUGGGCCGGGUACGCGAUCUGGAUCGUUUACUUUGAAAAAAUUAGAGUGUUUAAAGCAGGCUUACGCUUCUGAAUACAUUAGCAUGGAAUAAUAAGAUAGGACUUUGGUUCUAUUUUGUUGGUUUCUAGGACUAAAGUAAUGAUUGAUAGGGACAGUUGGGGGUGCUAGUAUUUAACGGCCAGAGGUGAAAUUCUUGGAUUCGUUAAAGACUAACUAAUGCGAAAGCAUUCACCAAGGAUGUCUUCAUCG
rnacentral:rRNA from 1 species